GUGGAAACCAAGAUAAUGUCUAAGUUAUAUAACAGUUCUUUCCAUAAUCAAUCACUGUCUAGUUUUAGAUCUACCUAAGAAGGUUCUUGCACACAUGGGAAUAAGCUGACUGAGGUAAUAGAUGAGUUCCAAAUCACUGAUACUUUCUCUACUUAGAGGGCAGACCCAAAAUAAAUCUGCUCAUGCCUGACAUGUAACUGGUUAUCUGCACCAUGAAGGUUUUGCAGAGCUGUCUCUGAAGAAACGACUCAUUUCCUUAUCCAUGAUAGCCUGAAGACGAUGAUGUGACAGUGACGAAAGACUGCAAUAAAGGGCAGUUGAAACUUUUUGGGGAGAGGUUUCUACUUCUGGAAGACAACAGGCAGUGGCUGCAUUCGAUGAACAGAAAUGAAUUUUAUUUUCAAAAUAUGAAAGCUCAUAGAAUUAUAGAAAUUAUGGAAGAAAAAGAUAUAUUGGGCCAUCUCUUCCACUCUGGAGGCUGUGGCAGCUUUGUCCAUGCCUUAUAAGGCCUCCUGAUCCUGCCUUUCCAUUUAGCAACCUGGAGGGAGGGAAGGAUGAAGAAAGUGAAUGGAGAACUGACCAAGAUAAUCUUCCCAAAUGGAGCAGAGACAUCCUAGGGUAGUCAUCUAUCUCCUCUAGAAAACUCCCAAUGCAAAUCACCCAGUCUCCAUACCUUCCCCUUCUCCACUGUGAGGUCGUUCUGUCCCUGUAGUUGUUCCAGUUCAGCAGUUUAUCUGGUUGAACUCUGAAGGGACAGAUAAAGUACCUGUAAUUUU